CUCAUCAAAUAAUUUUUACCUUUGUUGCCAAAUGUAAUACUAAGCUAGGAGUUUGGUUUUCUUAGUUAGGUGAGGUGAGUGUGUUUUUGGUCGAAUUUGAGAGUCCUAGUGGCUAAAAACUUAUUUUUCUUCUCUUAGUUCCUAGAGUGUCUUAGUCUUAGGUGUUAAAGAGGGCUGAUUCUACUUCUUUUACCUAGAGUUUAGAAUUCAUGGGUUGGUGCAGAGCUUGGGUGAUUCGAAGCUCAGAGUUGUCUCUUUCUUCCUUCUUCCUUUUCUCCUCUCUUGAUUAGCUUAGAAUCAAGAGAUAGGUUACAAAGGACUAUAGUGGAGGCCAUCAGGUGGAUGAUAAUGUUUUAAAAUGUUUUAUACAUACUACCUUCUUGCGAUAGUUUUAUAGUAAUGCUUGACCAAUAUUUAGGUCAUGUAGUGGACUAUUACUGGAUAAUUGUACUUAUAUUAUUUAUCUUUGUAUAGUUCUUUUUACACGUACAUGCAUGUUAUAUUGUACAUAUCCAAGUAAUUGUGAAUGUAUGACUUUAUAUAGUAGUUUUCUA